UUGACAUCUUGCUUUUUUUCCAUCCAUUUAAAACACAUUGGUCCUGUGAGACUGCCCGGGAAGGCUGCCUUCUCUCCUACAAUUGGGCGUCUCCCUCCUGCUGGCCAUCUCCAGCGUCCCGUGGUUCCAUCCUGAGUCACAGGAUGCAGGGAGCAUCUUUCCACUUCACCCUUUUCGUACUUUGGAUCAUCCUCUUCCAGGGCUGAGGGACUUUGGGACUUGGCCAUUUCUGACAUAACACUAAGUCGUCUGGCAUUUUGUUUUAUUUGGUCAACGUUGACAUUUUGAACCUACUAGCUAGUUCCAAUAAAACCUUUUUAAAAAUAAGCCCGAAAAGUGAAAUGACCUUUAAGAAAUACUGUGAGAAUAUUGCACAGUGUCUUGGAUCCCUCAUCCUGUGAGAAUAUUGCACAGUGUCUUGGAUCCCUCAUCCUGUGAAAAUGGCAACUCCGCAGACCCAACUCUAUGACUGCAAAGCUUGAGUCAGGACAAAGUGAGACAGAUUUAUUGAUGACUCAGGGAGUGAGAAGAGGCGCGUUCCAGACAGAGGGCCUGUUUGGGAAAGAGGUACACUCCACUCCCAGGAAGCUGGCGCUCAUUCCAAGAGAUGGGACAGGCAGGGGCGCGGAGUGGAAGUGGGUAGCCUGAGAUAAGAGCAGCUCUUUCCAGACUUGGUGAGGCAGCAGAAGCGCUGGACGAGAUGUGGACAUGACCAGAGGCACCGGGCCUCCGUUUGGGCAGCCAGGAGUGAUUUCCUAGUGGGAAAAGUAUACAUUUGCAAACAGAUGGGAAUACAUUUGGAUAUGCAUAGAUGGAAUUACUAACCACCUUUACCUAUGUUCUAGCAGUCAGUUUCAAGUUAGAAGGAAAAUAUCCACAGGCCACAGGAU
rnacentral:lncRNA from 1 species